AGUGAACGCUGGCGGUAGGCCCAACACAUGCAAGUCGAACGGCAGCACAGUAAGAGCUUGCUCUUACGGGUGGCGAGUGGCGGACGGGUGAGGAAUACAUCGGAAUCUACUUUUUCGUGGGGGAUAACGUAGGGACACUUACGCUAAUACCGCAUACGACCUACGGGUGAAAGCAGGGGAUCUUCGGACCUUGCGCGAUUGAAUGAGCCGAUGUCGGAUUAGCUAGUUGGCGGGGUAAAGGCCCACCAAGGCGACGAUCCGUAGCUGGUCUGAGAGGAUGAUCAGCCACACUGGAACUGAGACACGGUCCAGACUCCUACGGGAGGCAGCAGUGGGGAAUAUUGGACAAUGGGCGCAAGCCUGAUCCAGCCAUACCGCGUGGGUGAAGAAGGCCUUCGGGUUGUAAAGCCCUUUUGUUGGGAAAGAAAAGCAGCAGGUUAAUACCCCGCUGUUCUGACGGUACCCAAAGAAUAAGCACCGGCUAACUUCGUG
rnacentral:rRNA from 1 species